GAUGAACGCUAGCGGCGUGCCUAAUACAUGCAAGUCGAGCGAACAGACGAGGAGCUUGCUCCUCUGACGUUAGCGGCGGACGGGUGAGUAACACGUGGAUAACCUACCUAUAAGACUGGGAUAACUUCGGGAAACCGGAGCUAAUACCGGAUAAUAUAUUGAACCGCAUGGUUCAAUAGUGAAAGACGGUUUUGCUGUCACUUAUAGAUGGAUCCGCGCCGCAUUAGCUAGUUCGUAAGGUAACGGCUUACCAAGGCAACGAUGCGUAGCCGACCUGAGAGGGUGAUCGGCCACACUGGAACUGAGACACGGUCCAGACUCCUACGGGAGGCAGCAGUAGGGAAUCUUCCGCAAUGGGCGAAAGCCUGACGGAGCAACGCCGCGUGAGUGAUGAAGGUCUUCGGAUCGUAAAACUCUGUUAUUAGGGAAGAACAAAUGUGUAAGUAACUAUGCACGUCUUGACGGUACCUAAUCAGAAAGCCACGGCUAACUACGUG
rnacentral:rRNA from 1 species